CUGGCACUUUGCCUCCUGUCAGAAAGGCUACGUGUGUUUAAAGGACAGCAGCAUUCAGAGAUUUUCUCUGCAGGAGGUCUUGCUCUCUUCUCCUGCUGAAAAUGUCUGACUCGAUUCAUAACCAAUAUCUAAAUAUAGUCAUGUUGGUUAUUUCAUGCACUAUUUACAUGCAUAAUCGUAAUCUCAAUUGAGUCUCAACUUCAGAAACACAGUUUAUUACAGUGGGAUUAGAGUACACAAACUCCUAUAUUCUGCAUUCCACAGCCAUCUUCCUUCUCUACUUACCAUUAACUAGAGUGCUUCCACAGCUUAUUCUCCAGUGGAAACCAGUAAGAGCCUCCGAAGGAAGGCCAAGUAGUGGAGGCGUGACCUCCCAGAGCCGACCACUGUCUCUCCGCUGACCCAGCAAACAGCCUACAUGAUAGUCACAAAUAAUAUGGCCCCAUGGGCAUACGCGUGGGCCAAGUGUAUACCCGCCCCUUCCUUCCUCUCCCACUCAAGAAAGCAGAUCAGAAUGCAAGAAUCUAAAAACAGCAUUGUUAUGGAAGCACACUCUAAAAUAUAUUGUAAUUUAUCAACAAAGUAAAUUAUUCAAAACUGUGAUACUCUGUUAUUAGCUAGCAAAUUCCUUUUCAUACCCAGAGUGGAACACAAUGGUUGAACACUGCUUUCUUAGACACAACUUUGAAUGCCAACCACUUGAAUUGUUGAUGUCUGACAAGUGACAAAAAUGAUAAAUGCUAGUGUAAAUCAACUCAUAGAAGAUCCAAGCACUUUAGAGAAAAACAAAAUAUCUCUCUCUUUCUCAGAACAUGCUUACCAGAACCCCACACUCUUCAGUAACAAUAACAAGUGUAUGAUCACCCAACAAAGGCUCUAUCACUCUCUAAGCAAAAUAAACAGGAUAAAACGUGACAAUUUUAUCAUUAUGGAUUAUUUUAAUUUUUAUUAUUUGUGUUUUACAAACUUUCUGAUUCCCUAUGAACAUCCUUUACCUUUUUAAGGGAUAAUGUUUAAAAUGUUAUGUAAAAAAUGGAAUAUAUUUUCAACACAAGGAAUGGAAAGUCAUGAAAUUUAAUGAGAUUCUAGAAGACAUUGGCUUGCUUCAAAGAUUUAUGCAAGAACAUAUCUGUAGCAAUGAGGAAAGAAGGCAUUUUAAAAAGACCUCCAAAGAGAAAAAAAUUGCUAUCACUUUUUUACUGGAAGAUGUGACAGAUAUUGUAACAAAAUUCCCACGGUCCCAAAAAACCAUUAAAAGAUACCUCUUUCUGAAUGCCUAUAAUCUGAAACAAGACUAAUUGGAUCUGUACAAGUCAUCCAUCAGCUAAGUUCCUCUAAGUGAAAGACACUUGUCUUUAGAAAAAGCAUGUCCCCAAAUUGGAAAUAUGAAUUGAUCAAAGGUACAUAGGCACAACACCAAAAUCUAUUUGGUCACUGAAAAAAAAAGGGUUUCUCCAGUUCUGGGCUUGGGAUAUUUCUUUCCAAUCAUUUGGGAAGCAGUUGAAUCAAGUCCGGGGGUUAAAAUACUGAAAGUCCAGAGGGCAGCAUUUCCAUACAACUCACACAUUUCUCCUGCUGAAGUGAGCUUUGAAGUUGAGUGGCAGCCAAGAUAGAGGGGUAGAAAAAAAAGAGAAAGAGUUACAUAGGGGCUGGUAGUCACUCAAAGGAAGAACAACAAGAAUUAAGAGAAAGAAAAAGAAAAGGGAGGUGAAAAUGGAUUAAAACAAAGCCAGGGAGGUCCAGCCUUCUCCCUCAUUGCCAAGGUUGGGAAGAUGAUGGAAGUUUGUCCUGCAAACUCAUCAGGACUGGGGGCAGUAAUUUACCAAGGUCAAAGGGCAAGGGCAGGCCCCCUCAGUGACCCAGCCUUUGCAAUGAAAACAUUCCAAAGAAACUUAAGCAGACAGAAUGUGUAGAUAUUUGUGCACCACAGCUGGGGGAAGCCUCCACAACCUUUCCCAGUCUUAGUCCUGUCAAAUGACAAAUGUCUCUUUUAUGUAAGGAUCAAACAGUGUUGGAGGCAGUAACAUAAGCAAAAUCUUCAGUGACAUUGAUUUUGCAUGUUAGCAGAGUUGCUUCUAAAGAGGAACUCCCACGACUGCCAGAGAGUUUCUUAACCUGAAAACUGCAAUUGUGCAACUCACUUAACAGCCAAAUAUAGGCCAACAGGAACAAAUUCAUCCAACCUUUCUGACAGCGUCACGUUGACACUUCAAUUACCUGAUAACUGCAGCAAUGUUUUCCUAGCUGAGCAGGAAAACUUCAAAAAAAAAGCUUAACCUUUUUCCUCUUUAGCUUCCGCUAACCAUCCACAUCUGCUUUCCUGGCUAAGUCUCCAUAGCAGCUAUUAUCAACACAUGAAUGGAAUUCAAAAAAAAAAAAGAGACCCAGAACUGAAUUCAAAUUCUGGCUCUACUAUUUUCCAAGGGCGUGUCCUAGGGCAAGUCACCUAAACUCUAUGAUCUUCCGUUUUAAGUUGCUAUGAAAAAGUAAAUAAUAUAAGAAAUGUUUGGAAGACAAAGAUGCUCCAAUGAUUGUUGUCAUGCCAAUGGUAACAAAAGUAAAUAAGGAUUGGGCUUACUCUAUGACAACACGAAAAGUAUAUUUCUUCUCACCUAAGUAAAACAUUUGCUACCUCCUGAACACGAUUAUAAGUCGCCAACCUCUCUUUAGUUUUAUGUAAAAAUAUUCUGCUCCAGGCUGGGUGCAGUGGCUCACACCUGCAAUCUCAGCACUUUAAGAGUCCGAGGCAAGAGGAGCGCUUGAGUUCAGGAGUUUGAGACCAGUCUGAACAACAUAGGGAGACCUCAUCUCUAUAAAUAAUUUUCCAAUAUUUGUCAGGUGUGGUGGUGCACGCGUGUGGUACCAGCUACUUAGGAGGCUGAGGCAAGAGGAUCACCUGAGCCCAGGAGGUUGAGGCUGCAGUGAGCCAUGAUUGCCCCACUGCACCCCAGCCUGGGUGGCACAGCAAGACCCUGUCUCAAAAAAAAAAAAUUCUACUCCAAUUGUAUUGAAAGAUUCUCAAGGGAAAAUUAAUGUUUAAUCUGAUGUCAUCAUUCUCUCAAUAUAAACAAAAACCAAUAGUCAGAUUUUGUAUAUUCAAGGAAUAAUUACAAGUGAUUAAUAUAAAGAUAAUGUCAAUGAUGAAAAAAAUAUGCUAUGGUCAGCAUUGUUUUGGUUUUGGUUUUUCCUAGUCUAAGAUGGCAGUAGAGCAUAUAGCAAAUAUCUCUGGGCACCACUCUCUUUUAUACAGAUUUCCAUUAAAGCAAUGGGAGUCCCUUUACUGCAUUGGUUUGUUUGUUCUUCCUAGAACAGAAGCUCCCGUGAGUGAAAUUAACUUCUGAGCCAACUUCGUAUACCUAGUAUCACAUGGUAGGCCAGGCUGGAUAGGCAGAUGGUCAGUCCACCUGCAUUGGUAGGCAAAGUAAGACACAAUCUUAAAAAGAACACUAUUUUAUAAGUUUAUAUUAUGCUUGUAUCUGUUAAGAUUAGGCUCAGCUGCAACCAUCAAAACUCUAGCAAAAUGGUUUAAUCAAAAUAGAGAGGUAUUUCUCUCUCACGUGGAAAUCUAGAGCUAGUCUGUCCACAGCUCCACAGUGCCAGGGAUGCAUGUGCCUUGCAUCUUACUGUUCUAUUGUGUGUGGCUUUUAUUAUCAAGUUAACAUCUUGGAAUCCAGGCCUUACAAUCACAAUCCAGGUAGCAGGAAGGUAGGAGAACAGUGCACAUGGGUAUAGGGUAGCAAAAUGGGUGGACUCUAUCACAGUGUAUAGCUGGGCUCUGUGUGUGUCCCCAGUCCUUGUGGGGCCCAGCAGGCAUCGCAGCGUGGCAGCCAUGUCCAAGCCACGGCCUGGGCAUCCUGUCACCUGCCCAGGUACACGGUCACUCACACUGGGGGCUUUCUGUCGUGUGUGUGUGUCUUCCUGUUGACUGUGCACUUCGUUCGCAGUGCAGAAUGUUUCCUGUUCUCAGUGCGUGAAGACACUGGUUUUCAAUCAGUGUCUAAAACCACGUUCCUGCCUUUCACUGCAGUACAGUGUGUUCAUUUUUUAAAAAUAGAGUUUAAUGAGUAAGUUUAGAUCUGACUGGUGAAUAUCUUAAAACUUUAUAUUAAUAAAAAGUUCUUCCUGGAAAAAAAAAUCCAUUUUUCCCCUUUUCAAUAACAGAACUUCAAUUUUUAUUUCAGCUUAUUGCCAUCCACAACAUAUAUUUCCCAGCCUACCUGGCAGGUAAAUGUGGCCAUAUGACUAGGUUCUGGACAAUACAACAUAAGCAGAAGUAUUGUGUGGAAUUUCUAGGAAGUUCCUCUGUAAAAACACACACACACACACACACACACAUGAGCCAGGUGCAGUGGCUCAUAUCCGUAAUCCUAGCAACUUUGGGAGGCCAAGGCAGGAGAUCAAGGCCAGGAUUUCAAGACCAGCCCAGGAAACCAAGCAAGACCCUCUCUCUACAAAGAAUUUAAAAAUUAGCCAGGCAUAGUACUGUGCAACUGUAGCCUCAGCUACUCGAGAAGCUGAGGCAGGAGGAUCACUUAAGCCCAGGAGUUAGAGGCUGUAGUGAGCUGUGAUUGUGCCACUGCACUCCAGUCUGGGUGAGAGAGCAAGAAAGAACAAAAGAAUGAAAGAAAGAAGGAAGGAAGGAAGGGGGGAAGGAAGGAAGGAAGGAGAGAGAAAGAGAGAAAGAAGGAAAGAAGGAAAGAAAGAAAUGAAGGAAGGAAAGAAGGAAGGAAGGAAUGAUGGCUGGAGCUCUAGCAGCCAUCUUGAAUCAUGAAGACAAUAAAGACAAAAGCUAUAACCUAAGAAUGACAGAUUAAUGAACUAGAAGGAAACUGAGUAUCUGAAAACCUCAUGGAGGAACCAUACCAGCCAUAGACUGCAACUCUGAAUUUCUUUUAUGUAAAAGACACAUUUACUUUCAUAUUUUUAUGCCACUUAUAUAAGAUAUUUCUGUCUCCUAUAAAGAAGAAUCUAAUUCUAAUCAAUACAGUGCUGAAGUAAACUUCCCCACCCCCCGUUCCUCUCUACUGGUUACAAGCAGCAGUCUCUUCCACCAACACUGGCCAUUACUGAAUCUUCUAUCUUACCCUUUCUCACAGGGAGUAUCAAAUAAAGGACACAUAGCCCAUAACUUUUAUUUUUGCAAACUAUGAAAAUUUUAUAACAAAGGGAAAUAAAACAUGAACCAUCAACAAUUCUCUAUACAGCUAUUGUGAGAUAAAAAAAAUUUAAAGAAUUCACCUUCCAGACAGGCAUUUCUGUCACUACCUAACAUCUGUGGCCAUGUUCUCAUUAUGUACUUCAUAAGGAAGAAAACAUAUCUUCAGGUAAAUGGUUCUUAAUUAACUUAUGUACUUGAAAAAAUAAACUCAGCAGGAAAAAAAAUAUAUCUAUUGCUCUAUAUUAAAGAGGCAGAUUAAAAAUUUGCCCUAAAACAGAAUUUGCAACUCAGCAGGGUAAGAAGAUGAUUCCAUUUUACUUCUUAUAAAUAGAAGUUUAAGGCACACACGUUGUCAAAACAACUUUAUAAAUAAGCUGGUGCCAACACACUCAUGAAUACUAAAAAUGUUUUCCAGGUUCUCAGUUGUCUUCUCUAUGAUUCUAUUGAGGUUAUACCUAUUCCAAUAAACUCAAUUCUCAUUGCAAUUCUUAGUGAGUCCAGUGUGCCUCCUCGUAUAAGAUAAAGGGUUUCAUAAACUGACACCAUGGACACAUGAAGAUUAGUCAGCUUUAUGAAGCCAGUGACUUGGUAGCUCCUUUAAGUAUUUCUGUAAGGCACUUUGGCCUCCAAUGUUCACUCCAGAUUCUAUGGUGGAGGAGAAAGGCUUGUGGACCUACAGUUUACUUCAAUGACUUGGAUUCUUGUCCCAACUCCAUUUUCUAACAUGUGGUGUAAAUUUGAACAAGUGUCUUAAUCUCCCCUGCCUCUCCUUUCUAUUAAAUAAGAAUAAUACCAAUUUCAGCCAAGCUUGGUGGCUUACACCUGUAGUCCCAGCACUUCAGAGGCCAAGGCAGGUAGAUCAUCUGAGGUUGGGAGUUUGAGACCAGCCUGGCCAACAUGACAAAACUCAGUCUCUACUAAAAAUACAAAAAUUAGCCAGACAUGGUGGCGCAUGCCUGUAAUCCCAGCUACUCAGGAGGCUGAGGCAGGAGAAUCGCUUGAACCCGGAAGGCAGAGGUUGAAGUGAGCCAAGAGCCAAGAUCACACCACUGCACUCCAGCCUGGGCAACAGUGCCAGACUCCCUCUCAAAAAAAAAAAAAAAAAGACUACUACUAAUUUCAAUUUUGAUAAGGUUCAAUUAUAUGUGAAAGUAGUUUAUAAUGGUAAAGAGUUGCAUACGGGUAGUAUCUGUAUAUUUUUAUAAUUGGUGGUGUUUGGGUUGUAAGUAAUUAGAACUAAACUGUGCUGCCUCAAAAGCACAGUGAAUAUAUACAGAGCGUUUUGGAAGAAAAUAAAACAACUGUUAAAUAAUGGUUACCAUUUGGGGUAGGACAUUUUUUUUCCUUGACAGACUUUAGGUGGCAGCCAUACGUAUCUUUUAAAUUUAAGAAAACAAUAUGUAAUUUCAUGGAGCUUUUUUUUCCUAUAAUGAAAUGGGAGAAGGCCAAAGGGAAGGAACUGGGAAGAAGCAGAUAUUCUUUUAGCAAUAAUAAUGUGUCCUUCUUCAGUUCUAAAGGUCCUCACCCUGGUGAUCCUCAUAGUUCUUCCUUCCAGUGGAUAUUAAUGUGAGCUUAUCCCUAGCAAUAAAGCAUCAAGAUUUAGAAAACAGAAAUACUUAAAAUUGUUUGAAGAAGCCCCUGAAUGUUCAAUACUGAGUGCUUCUGGCAUCAGCAGCCAGCACUAAACCCAAACGACUGCACCCGUGAGCCCAAGAACGACCUUCGUAUUCAAGUGGCAUCCCUCUCCUCGACAUCCCUAUCAGGCAAAAGGUGUGUGCCUUCCUCAGUUGGUUUACUGGCUACCAUUUCCCUCACUCUCUCUCUUCUUCUUUUUUUUUAGGUAAUCUAUUUAAAAGCUCAUAAUCUGUUCUAUAAAUAUCUCAACACUUACGCCUAAAGGCCCCCCAAAAAUCUGGAGGUGAUACACUGAACAGGCAGAAGGCCUCUGAAUACCUGGUUAUUAAGGACUCCUUUAACCUCAGUCUCCCACAAAUUAGGGGGAAAAGCAUUUAUCUUUGUGCAAAAUGAACUAUUCCCACAGACUGGGCACAGUGGCUCACGUCUGUAAAUCUAGCACUUUGGGAGGCUGAAGGUGGGAGCAUCACUUGAGCUCAAGAGUUUGAGACCAAGAGCAGCUUGGGCAACAUAAUGAGACCCCAUCUCUACAAAAUAAAAAUAAUUUUUUUAAAUAGCUAGGUGUGGUGAUGUGGGCCUGUCGUCUCAGUUGCUCAGGAGACUGAGGUGGAAACAUCUCUUGAGCCCAGGAGUUCAAGGCUGCAGUGAGCUAUGUUGCACCACUGCAUGCCAGCCUAAGUGACAGAGCAAGACCCUGUCUCAAAAAUAAAAAUAAGUAAAUAAAUAAAUUCCUCCCCCUCUAUUCAGUGAACUCUCAAGUUUCCACCAUGGAUUGUGGUGUCACACUCCAUCCUGCCCCAUUUGCUCUAGAUUCCCAACAACGGGCACAUACAGAGUACAGACCACCAUCCUCACUAUUGCCACCACCUCAAUCCACGUGUCAGGCUCCCUCUAAUGCCAUCCAGGAGGCUGGUCAGGAGGAAAUGGUCCAGGUGAAAAGGAUUCCAGAAUAGUGAGCUGCUACAGCAAAUGAUAUAGUAAUUCCUCCAAAACUAAAGAUACAAUUACCAUAUGAUCCAGCAAUCCCACUUUUAGGUAUACACCCAAAAGAAUGGAAAGGUGCAUAAGGGUAAUUUGUACACCCAUGUUCAAAGCAGCAUUAUUUGCAGGAGCCAAAAGGUGGCAGUGACCCAAGAGUCCCUGGAUGGAUGAAUGAGUAAACUAAAUGUGGUACACAUGUACAGUGGAAUAUUAUUCAGCCUUAAAAAGGAAGGGAAUUCUGACACAUGCCAUGACAUGGAUGAACCUUGAGGACAUUACGCUCAGUGAAAUAAAACGGUCUCAAAAAGACAAAUAUGGCAUGAUUCUACUUCUGUGAGGUACCUACAGUAGUCAAAUUCAGAAAGACAGAAAGUAGAAUGGUAGUUACCGGGUAUGGGGGUGGAGGGAAAUAGGGAGUUGCUGUUUAAUGGGUAUUGAGUUUCCGUUUUUCAAGAUGAAAGAGCUCUGGGGAUGGAUGGUGGUGAUCAUUGCGCAACAAUCUGUACUUAACACUGCUGAGCUGCACACUUAAAAAUGAUUACAAUGAUUAAUUUUAUGUUAUGUAUAUUUUACCACAAUUUUUUUAAAAAGGAUGCCAGAAUCUUGCAUGUCCUUCUCUGGAGCCAAGAGCAUUGCACAGCCAGCCCGCCCGGGUUCUCUAAAGUUCAACUUCAGCAGGCCAGCCCAGGGCAUACUCAAAAUCUUCCCAUGGGCAAAUCUCUUCCAGCCAAUGGGAACCUUUCAAAAUCUACAUUUCCAUAGCCACAUAAUUAAGAACUAAAUCUCACUCCCAAUCACGUUGUAGAAUUGUUUUAGAUAUAACAAGGUGUCCACCUAGGUAGAACUUUAAGAAGUUUCCAGUGGCGGUAAUGUUCUGUUUCUUAAUCUAGGUGAUGGUUACGUGAGCAUAUUCACUUAGUAAUAAUUCAUAGAGCUGUACACUUAGGAUUUGUACACUUUUUAGUUAGACUUCAUUUUCAGACCUGUUUUGCUAUUUCUUGCAUUAUUCAUGGCGUCUCACAAGAUGACAAAUUCUCAAAGUCCUCACAGAGCCUAGCAGGGUGCUAGGCUUCUAGCAGGAGCAUGAGUUAUGUCUAUUGACACCAUUAAAAUUUGGAGAUCUGGGGAGUAUCAGAGAGAGAAAGACAGUGCACAGGGCACUGGGAUAGUUUUGCAAUGUCCUUCUACAUCAGGGAACCAAAAGCAUUCUGACCCCAAAGCUGCAGGUCAAUAACGCAACCAACUUCAUCAGCACAGGCCAGUAGAAAGAGGAAACUCAGCUGUGCUGCUGAUAACCCAUGUCUUAGGAAAAUAACCCUUCUGAUUUUAAAAAGAUAGUUACGUGCAUACACACACCCCAAAAGCUCGACUCUAGCCUCAACAUGAGAGGAAUUAAUGUGAUGGGAUAAAAGUUAGUGCCUAUUUUAAGAGGCAGUGACAACUAAAAUAGAUUGCAGAUGGCAAGCUCUUCUGAACCCUGUAAUAAGUCUAUGAUGGCCCAUUCUCCAGGAAGCCAAAGUUGGAGCCAGAACUCCAUGGUGUUGGAAAUGCUGACAGCAAUCAUUUACUCCAAGAAACACAAGGGCUGGCCCUGAAGCGGAAGUGCUGGAGAAAAGCACCCCCGAAGGGUUGUGAUGGACCCCCUCAAAAAAGGCCACAGUGGGAGGGAUCAGUUUGAUCUCCAAUUGGAGUAGUCCUUUGAACUCUGACGCUAAGCUUUAGUGCAAUGUGGUGCAUUGGGGGUUGUUUCCAUUUCAGCUGUUUCUCCAUAUGCCAGAGAGGAGAGUCGUGCCUGGCAGGCCUGGGCCAGCAAUAUCUAGAACACAGGCCUGGCUCCAGGAGAAGCCAGAAGCCUCCCCUCCUCCAUCAUGGUCCCUCUGUAUGUGGGCAGAGAAGGAGGAGGGGGAUCAAGGAUCCAGGAGGAGGAUUUGGUGCCAGGGAGAUGACUAAGGUCUGACGCAAUCACCACACGCAUGUGGGACUCGUGAGAUAAACAGAUCUGGAGGGGGAACCAGUGCUCCAGGCUUGACCUUGGGGUGCCUCCCAGCCCCCAUCUCGGUCCCUAGGCCCAUUUAAGAUGGAAGGUGAACCAAGAUGCCCUGAGUUCUCAUUUUUCUCUCUCUUGCUGGUUUUCUCUUGUUUGACAAAUCGAACCGAACCCCAAAGGAAAAAAAUGGGAAGGAGGGAGGAGGACUCCUUCCCAUGCAGAUUUAUGGCAUUCUGGAUGCAGCUUGCAUUUGUCAGGCCAAAAUGGUUAGGGUGGGCUAAUAGAGUAGAAUUACAGCUUCCUAUAAUAGGGAAAGUUAAAUAGACAAGCUUUCCUACCCUGAAGAGAACGAGGCAGAGGUCAGUGCUACUGGCUUUGAACAUGAAUGGCCCCUUCCCCUCGGUUCCCUUUCACAUGUGGCCUGGCAACAGUAGCAGACAGAUGCGACACAAAGCCAGACACACCUGAUUAACCAUGAAUACAACAGCUGUCGUUUCCCCACCACCACAGAUACCCACACCCUCGUUCUUUCCGCUUAGUUUUUUCCCUUUCUUUCAGCUAAGCGUGAGGAAAUCAAACCUACCAUUAAAACUCAAGUUAGUGGGAGGGUGUCAGCAGCCGGGCCUUUGUUUCUCUGCUCACAGACAUGUAAUAGGUACCUUCAGGGUUGUCCUUUCAUCUGAAAAUGCGUUGUGGUCUCCCGCUGAGGGCUCAGUCAGCUCAAAACCUGAGCCCCCAGAAAGGCCAGCAGAGGGUGGGGGAAGAUGAAGGUGGCCUGAAUGGGGACGGAGAAAGUGGACUUUUCUGGGGCACCUGAGUUUGUCUCUCUUCUCCUCUCUCCUCCUUUCCAUCCGCUUGCCUCCAUCCAACUACCACUCCCUGCUGCUAAAAACAUCCACCCUUAAGAUGGACUGGCUGUUCUGAAUUUAUCAAGAGGAAGUGGAACUCAACGUAGCAUUGUCUUUCUGCAGCUUGCUUAUUUCACUCUAUUCUGAGCUGGUCUUAACAAAGAAGAAUCAGGUCAGGUGGCUUUAGGGGUUUUUCUAUUUGCCUCUCUUAGGUAGACAAAUCCUUGAGUUCAAGUUAACUUCCAAGACCUUGCAAAUCAAACACAGGAGGGAAUCUAAGUGUUGAACUGCAAAUGAUUUCUAACGACAUGAACAAAAUGUAAUGUGACUAUAUGAGCUUCCGGAAACCUACAGAAUGGUAAUUACAGCCCAGAGUAUGAAUCUUGAUUUUUCUUCAGGUGUUCUUUUUCGUAUUGUUUUGUUUUGCUGGGCAAUCUCAAAUUAACCAUUUGACCUCUGUAAGCCUACAUUUCUACUGCUUAAAAUGGUUCUCUCUUUUGUCAAAAAGUCCCUGAAGCUAUUACAAAGAGACUAAUAAAAACGAUCAGAAAUCUCUUUGCAAACACUAAAACUUAUAAUAAUAGGAUGGAUAACUGGGUAACUUAAUCUCAUAAAAAGUCAACAAUAUCCCUUAUUUUCUCACAUAAAUGAAAACAUAAAGGAAUAAUUCAGGCUCUCAUUUGAAGUCUCAUGGUUUCUAAUGAAGGCCCAGGUCCACUGUAUACUUCUGCCUUCUACUAAGAACUCAUGGAGAUUUCCCACUCAAGAUAAUCAGGAAGAGGAAGUAUAAUGGAAAUGUCUAGGAAAUUUGGUGUCAGGUAACAGAGAAGUCCCCAGCAUCACAUUUGUGUAGGACAUUGGAAUUUGUUCUAGAACACAAAAGUAUCCUCCGGUGGUUGGUAACUUUAGACUCAUCUUCUAGCCAAUUAGAGAACAGUCAUAUCCACUAUCAAAUCAACCCAGAGGUCCCAUCUCAGAAUAAUGUGAAAAGGCCCUGUUCACUUUGCCGUCGAAACCAUCUCACAACUCUUCUCCUAGUAUCCAAAUUUCUCUUUCUCUUGCUUCACAGAACUCACGGUUUAAGCAGAGCAAGCCUGUCUGUUUUCAAUUCUUAACUUUUCACACAUGGCAAACGAGUGGAACUUCUGAGCACUGCGAUCAUCUGGCUGAUGAACAAGCUGUUUUCCAUUUCUGGCAACAAAUACUUCUGGCUUAUCGUGACGGGAUGAAAAGGGAUGAAAAUAUACUCUGGUUGGAUAUUGUUGAUAACAUUUGUCAUCUUUGCAGCUAAAAAAAGCUGGCUUAAAAUUUUUUCCUUUGGUGUUGCAGAAAAAUGGCAAAAGAAGCGACAUCACCGUUGAGUUGCCAAUUAAAUUGCAUUCCUAAAUGAAGUAGACUAGCAUCGUGAUUCUCAGGGCCACUGGAAUCCACGAGACUGACUUCCCUGAGGAGAGACUGCCUUCUAAUGGCGUGACCAUCUGCUCCACUUCCUUCGUGUUUGGUCAGUGAAUCACGGCAAGUCACAGGCCACCUGAGCAUUCUACUCACUUCUUUUGGAUGCAUCCAGGCCAAAGGCUCAGAGUGUGUUUGAGUUGAGAUAGAUCUGAGCAUAUUCAGUUAAAUGAGGCCCUCAAAGAGUAUGAUGGGGAAUUAUGCCCCACUGCCUCCCAAACUUCAAAUGUUGAAGCCCUAACCCUUAGAGCCUCAGACAGUAACUCUAUUCGGAGAUAGGGUCUGUAAAGAGGUAAUUAAGAAAAGGAGCAAAAAUGGAGCAAGUUUCCUUCUCCCUUGCGCUAUUUCUAAGGUCAUGUUAUAAAAAUCAAAUGGAGAAUACCUGUCAAACAGUUGAUCAAGCAGUGAGGAGAAAGAGAAAUAAUAUUAAUUCAAAGGGCAUGCUUCAACCCAUAGUCAGAACAAUCUAUUAGUUAAUCAAGCAAGAUUUAUUGAUACUCACCAAGAGACUGAAUAUACAAAUGGACAACGGCCAAGCCAUAAUUAAAAACAACUCCAACCUACAAUCUACAGCAGCCAGCCCAGGACACCAACCCAUUAGCAACAGCAAUCGGCCCAGGAAGCCAGCCUGCUAUCAUCAGCCAGACCUCUAGAAGUCUAACCACUAUCUCUAUCAACAAGUUAGGAAGCCAAACAAUAACCCCUGUAAGAAUCAGCUCCAAAUGGCCAGAACUUGACUGACAAUGGACAGCCUCCCUGAUUUUUGUCCCUGCUUCCAACUUAGGACAAACCAGAGAAAGGCAAAUAUGCACCCUAAGCAAUCACAUAGGCAUCUGUGCUUCUAGUGAACCACCUCCAGCUUCCCACACCAACAGCCUCCAAUCAGCACAUACCUGGAGCCUCCCUUUUUUCUACUAUGAAGUUUUCCCACUCCUCUGCCCGCAUUUGAGUCUCUGCCAAAACACAAACGAUAGUAGCUCUGAAUAAACAGCCUG
rnacentral:lncRNA from 10 species